AUCACAUCAUCUCCGUCAUCAUCAUCAUCAUAACCAUCAUACGUACCCGGCCCUCUAGUGAGGGACUCGGUGAAAUAGUCAUCACAUCAUCUCCGUCAUCAUCAUCAUCAUAACCAUCCUCAUCACCAAUCAUAUAUAUAAUAUACAUACCCGGCCCUCUAGUGAGGGACUCGGUGACAUAUGCAAGAAACUCCGCACGAACAUUACCCGGCCCGGGACUCGGUGAAAUGAUAAAUGACUCUAUGCAGGAGCAGAAUAUUAUGAGCAACCAUAUGCAAUUAAAAUCAUUU
rnacentral:lncRNA from 1 species